rnacentral:rRNA from 1 species
GGGUGCGAGCGUUGUCCGGAUUUAUUGGGCGUAAAGGGCUCGUAGGCGGCGGGUCGCGUCGGGGGUGAAAGACCGGGGCUUAACCCCGGUUCUGCUUCCGGUACGGGCAUGCUGGAGUGUGGCAGGGGAGACUGGAAUUCCUGGUGUAGCGGUGGAAUGCGCAGAUAUCAGGAGGAACACCGGCGGUGUAGACGGCUUUCUGGACCGUAGCUGACGCUGAGACACGAAAGCGUGGGUAGCAAACAGG